GAUGAACGCUGGCGGCGUGCCUAAUACAUGCAAGUCGAGCGAAUGGAUUAAGAGCUUGCUCUUAUGAAGUUAGCGGCGGACGGGUGAGUAACACGUGGGUAACCUGCCCAUAAGACUGGGAUAACUCCGGGAAGCCGGGGCUAAUACCGGAUAACAUUUUGAACCGCAUGGUUCGAAAUUGAAAGGCGGCUUCGGCUGUCACUUAUGGAUGGACCCGCGUCGCAUUAGCUAUUUGGUGAGGUAACGGCUCACCAAGGCAACGAUGCGUAGCCGACCUGAGAGGGUGAUCGGCCACACUGGGACCGAGACACGGCCUAGACUCCUACGGGAGGCAGCAGUAGGGAAUCUUCCGCAAUGGACGAAAGUCUGACGGAGCAACGCCGCGUGAGUGAUGAAGGCUUUCGGGUCGUAAAACUCUGUUGUUAGGGAAGAACAAGUGCUAGUUGAAUAAGCUGGCACCUUGACGGUACCUAACCAGAAAGCCACGGCUAACUACGUGCCAGCCGCCGCCGUAA
rnacentral:rRNA from 1 species